rnacentral:rRNA from 1 species
GACGAACGCUGGCGGCGUGCUUAACACAUGCAAGUCGAACGGAAAGGCCCUGCUUUUGUGGGGUGCUCGAGUGGCGAACGGGUGAGUAACACGUGAGUAACCUGCCCUUGACUUUGGGAUAACUUCAGGAAACUGGGGCUAAUACCGGAUAGGAGCUCCUGCUGCAUGGUGGGGGUUGGAAAGUUUCGGCGGUUGGGGAUGGACUCGCGGCUUAUCAGCUUGUUGGUGGGGUAGUGGCUUACCAAGGCUUUGACGGGUAGCCGGCCUGAGAGGGUGACCGGCAAAAUGGGGACGAGGAUCCGGCCCAGAUGCCUACGGGAGGAAGAAGGGGGGAAUAUUGCACAAGGGGCGGAAGCUGGAUGAGGCAACGCGGGGGGCGGGAGGAGGGCCUUCGGGUUGUAAACGCCUUCCGCUUGUGACGAAGGGUGAGGGACGGUAAUGGGAAAGGAAGAACCGGCUAACUACGU